rnacentral:rRNA from 1 species
CAGUAGCGCGGGAAUACGGAGGAUCCAAGCGUUAUCCGGAAUCAUUGGGUUUAAAGGGUCCGUAGGCGGUCUUGUAAGUCAGUGGUGAAAGCCCAUCGCUCAACGGUGGAACGGCCAUUGAUACUGCAGGACUUGAAUUAUUGGGAAGUAACUAGAAUAUGUAGUGUAGCGGUGAAAUGCUUAGAGAUUACAUGGAAUACCAAUUGCGAAGGCAGGUUACUACCAAUUGAUUGACGCUGAUGGACGAAAGCGUGGGUAGCGAACAGGAUUAGAGACCCCAGUAGUCCCUGUCUCUUAUACA